rnacentral:sRNA from 1 species
AAAACACUAGAGCACCCUCCGCAAUCACUAACACAAGGCAUUCUCAUAAAACACUAGAGCACCAUGCGUAAUCACUAACACAAGGCCAAGAUCUUAGAAAACACUAGAGCACCCUGCACAAUCAGUAACACAAGGCCAAGAUCUUAUAAAACACUAGAGCACCCUGCGCAAUCACUAACACAAGGCCAAGAUCUUAGAAAACACUAGAGCACCCUGCGCAAUCACUAACACAAGGCCAAGAUCUUAGAAAACACUAGAGCACCCUGCGCAAUCACUAACACAAGGCGUUCUCAUAAAACACUAGAGCACCCUGCGCAAUCACUAACACAAGGCGUUCUCAUAAAACACUAAAGCACCCUGCGCAAUCACUAACACACAGACAUUCUCAUAAAACACUAGAGCACCCUGCGCAAUCACUAACACAAGGCAUUCUCAUAAAACACUAGAGCACCCUGCGCAAUCACUAACACACAGACAUUCUCAUAAAACACUAGAGCACCCUGCGCAAUCACUAACAAGGCGUUCUCAUAAAACACUAGAGCACCCUGCACAAUCUCUAACACAAGGCCAAGAUCUUAGAAAACACUAGAGCACCCUGCACAAUCACUAACACAAGGCCAAGAUCUUAGAAAACACUAGAGCACCCUGCGCAAUCACUAACACACGGCAUUCUCAUAAAACACUAGAACACCCUGCACAAUCACUAACACACACACAUUCUCAUAAAACACUAGAGCACCCUGCGCAAUCACUAACAAGGCGUUCUCCUAAAACACUAGAGCACCCUGCGCAAUCUCUAACACAAGGCCAAGAUCUUAUAAAACACUAGAGCACCCUGCACAAUCACUAACACAAGGCCAAGAUCUUAUAAAACACUAGAGCACCCUGCACAAUCACUAACACAAGGCCAAGAUCUUAGAAAACACUAGAGCACCCUGCGCAAUCACUAACACAAGGCGUUCUCAUAAAACACUAGAGCACCCUGUGCAAUCACUAAUACAAGUCGUUCUCAUAAAACACUAGAGCACCCUGCGCAAUCACUAACACACAGCCAUUCUCAUAAAACACUAGAGCACCCUGCGCAAUCACUAACACAAGGCAUUCUCACAAAACACUAGAGCACCCUGCGCAAUCACUAACACACAGACAUUCUCAUGAAACACUAGAGCACCCUGCGCAAUCACUAACACAAGGCCAAGAUCUCAUAAAACACUAGAGCAUCCUGCGCAAUCACUAACACAAGGCGUUCUCAUAAAACACUAGAGCACCCUGCGCAAUCACUAACACAAGGCGUUCUCAUAAAACCCUUCUGUAUGGGCGAGUGUUUUUGUGCUUGUGGAGAGAAAAUUGAGACAUCAGAAUUGAGAGAAGGUAGUCCCUGAGUGGUGGAGUUGUGUCUCAGCGUGAAGUUCCCUGGCGUGAGCCUGUUCAGUGCUCCCCGGGGGCCCCUCAACUGCACGUUGGGUCCUGCCUUUAUCCAGCCCACGUCACCUGCCUACCUUCCUCCCCUGCUCCCCAGAGCGGCACGGGUUGCCACACGGGUCUGCUUUGGGUUGGCCGGGCGUGCCAGCCUCCUCUGCCCCUGGACUGCAGAAGUGUACUGUCCAUCUCUUUCCUGGGGAAUCUCUGUCCAGUAUAUGCUUUACCAUUUUUGGGAUACUCUUGUUCCCCAAGACUGGGCCACAUGCCCUCAUCUGGGUUCUCAGAACACCUCACACUCUGCCUGCCGCCUACCAACUCACUGGGCUGUGGUGGCCUCUGUCCCAUGCUCCACAGUGAGCCCUCAGGACUGAGUUAAGUGCCUUUAAAAAUUACUUGUCUUGUUCCCAUUUUGAGGGGCAACCUUUGUUUAAAGGGCAUUCAUAGGGUCCACCUCCCCAUCAGUUUUUGGGGUGAAACAGACCGUGGACUCCAUUCUUGCUUGCCCCUGACCCCCCAGAGCCCCCCAGACGUGAGCUGAUGUGAGCACUUGCACCAGGAGGAAGCUGGUCCCCCUUUGGUCUCCUCCCUGUCUCCCUCUCUGUGGACCACAUACAUAAUUACGUGCCACACGUUUCCCUUCGCUCCGGGGAGCACGGGUCCUGUGCCGCCUGGUGGGGCGCUGACAGCCGUCAGAGCAAGGUGUCUGGGCUGGUGAAACAAACACACUCCCCAGUUCUCCCCUGGCGAUCAUCCCCCACAGUGGCCCUUCCCUAGGGCAGUGGCUGUUCCCAAGGCGGUGGCCGUUCCUCAGGGCAGUGGCCCACAGCUUGUCUUAUUUCUCUAAGCAUUUUGGGGUCCUUUAGCUUCUGAGGAAUGUCCUCUCAACUUUCCUCACGUGGCCGUCUGUUGGGGAUGCUCGCUCUUGGAUUUCCUGAAUCAUCUGAGAGGCUUUGUCUAAAGACCAGGCUUGGGUUUUCUUUCCCAGACUCUCUCAAUCAGAGUCGCUAAGGGCUGGCCUUUUCGUCUUCACCCUCUCAAGUUCCACAGACUGUCCUGGGAGAUUCAGCCUCCUCAUCCAUAAAAUAACAGAUUUUAACAGAAUUAUCUGUACGCCUCCCCCCGGGCUCUAAUUAAACCUGUUUCCACCACAAGGCCACCUACUGUGCACCUCCUGAUCCUGGGAAUGUCACGAUGAUGGCUAUGCUGGUUCUUUUUCCCUAGUAAUCAGGGAACUGGUUAUUUUGUUCAUUCACUUUGUGGAAAUUUGUUGAGCCCGCACUCACUUACAAUUUGUGUUUUUCUGUCUAUGAGUUUGAUGUCAAUCAAAAGUGUCCUUAAAAUAAGCAACAAAACAGUGACACUUCCUGGUCUUGUCCCUGGACCUGGGGAGGGACCCUCCCUACUCUGGGAGGCUCUGGGGUGUUAAGGCCCCUCCAUUGGAAGGGGGGGGUCUUAGAAUCCCUGGGCACGAGUGGCCGUGCGGGAGGAAUUGCCACCUCUGGUGUCGGUCUAUUAACGCAUCCGCUUCUGGCUCCCGUGAGGCCAGUCCAUGAGCCAGGACUGACAGAGUACUUAUCAAAUAUUUUAAAAAGUCAAGGCCGGGCGCGGUGGCUCACGCUUGUAAUCCCAGCACUUUGGGAGGCUGAGGCAGGCGGAUCACGAGGUCAGGAGAUCGAGACCACGGUGAAACCCCGUCUCUACUAAAAGUACAAAAAAUUAGCUGGGUGUGGUGGCGGGCGCCUGUAGUCCCAGCUACUCAGAGAGGCUGAGGCAGGAGAAUGGUGUGAACCCGGGAAGCGGAGCUUGCAGUGAGCCGAGAUCGCGCCGCUGCAUUCCAACCUGGGCAACAGAGUGAGACACUGUCUCAAAAAAAAAAGUCAAGUAAGCCCUAAUUUGCCUUUUUGUUGUUGUUAGAGAUGGGGUCUCUCUGUUGCUCAUGCUGGAGUGCAGUGAUGUGAUCACAGCUCACUGCAGCCUUGAAGUCCUGGGCUCAAGUGAUCCUCCCACCUCAGCUUCUCGAGUAGCUGGGACUAUAGGCACACACCAUCAUGCCCAGCUUGUUAUUUUAUUUUAUUUUUGUAGAGACAGGGUCUCGCCAUGUUGCCCAGGCUGGUCUUGAACUCCUGGACUCGAGCGAUCUUCCUUCGGCCUCCCAAAGUGCUUGGAUCACAGGCAUGAGCCACGGUGCCUGGCAUCAGCUCUCAUUUGAAUUAGUCAAGUUUUGAAGAAGCACACUCAUUUUGUCCGAGCACGGCAGUUCUGUUGUCUCUUAUGCUUGGCUCGUCUGUGUCCUCCUUGCCGUUGGUCCUGGUUUCAGUUCCCGUUUCCUCUCUCAUUGUAAUAUCACAUAUGCUGCCUAAGAGCUUCCUGGACUAAGGGAGGUGUGGAUACAUUCAUGCUUUAAAGAAAUUCCCAUCAUUUUUCUGCUUGUCCACGUGUGGGUUCCACUUUCUGUCUGUGUUUUCAGACAGCCUUUCCCACAUCUCAUGUUUUUUUGAUAUGAAAUGUCACCAUGGAAGCAGAAACUUUCCAAGCCACACUUUGCUGGCCGAGGCUGGGGAUGAGCGUUCAUUGUCUGCUGUCUUCUUGCAAUUCACCUUCUCCUGAAGGCCCUGCAGUGCCUGGAACGUGUCAGGGAGAAGACAUGCCCUGAUGUGGACUUACAACACUCAUUAAACAUAGGAAGUUAUGUGCGCCUUUCUCUGCAGGGAUUAAAGAUUUCAUGUGUGAAUUGUGUGGGAAGACAUUCAGCGAGAGGAACACGAUGGAGACCCACAAGCUCAUCCACACAGGUGAGCGGCGCAGCCUGAAGGAGCCUGCAGGGCUGCACGCGGCAGGCUGCCGGGGCUGUCUGAGCGCCUGCGGGGGUGGAAAUGACUAUUCUAUUAUCUAGACGGUUCCAGCACAUUUAGUGGUGUCUUGGCUUCAUGGUGGCCCCUUGGCCUCUGAAGGUCAACCCGCCACCGCUUUCAAGUAUCCCUUCUUGAAUUUUCUCCUAUUGGUUCCGUGAUGCAGCUGCUGCCGGCAGUGCUCCCCAAGGGACAGAGGCUCUGUGCUCAUGUGUGCUCGGGGACCAGCACCGGCCCUCUCAGGACGGGCGGGGCGUGACAGGCUUCUUGCCUCGUCCAGCGGGCCAGGGUCAUUGGGAUGGCUGCACUAGUGACCUGCGUGUCUCUUCCUUUCCACGCGCAUGUGCGUCUGCGUGUGUGUGAAAAGUGGGCAAGCAGUGGACGUGCUCCGUGUGCGACAAGAAGUACGUGACCGAGUACAUGCUGCAGAAGCACGUUCAGCUCACACACGACAAGGUGGAGGCGCAGAGCUGCCAGCUGUGCGGGACCAAGGUGUCCACCAGGGCCUCCAUGAGCCGACACAUGCGGCGCAAGCACCCCGAGGUGCUCGCGGUGAGGAUCGAUGACCUGGACCACCUCCCGGAGACCACCACCAUCGACGCCUCCUCCAUCGGCAUCGUCCAGCCUGAGCUGACUCUGGAGCAGGAGGAUUUGGCCGAAGGGAAGCACGGGAAAGCUGCCAAGCGAAGUCACAAGAGAAAGCAGAAGCCAGAAGAGGAGGCGGGUGCUCCGGUGCCCGAGGACGCCACCUUCAGCGAAUACUCAGAGAAAGAGACGGAGUUCACAGGCAGCGUAGGCGACGAGACCAAUUCCGCAGUACAGAGCAUUCAGCAGGUAGUGGUGACCCUGGGUGACCCAAAUGUGACCACACCAUCGAGCUCAGUCGGCCUGACCAACAUCACCGUGACCCCCAUCACCACUGCGGCCGCGACUCAGUUUACCAAUCUCCAGCCGGUGGCCGUGGGGCACCUUACCACCCCUGAACGCCAGUUACAGCUGGACAACUCAAUCCUGACCGUGACCUUUGAUACCGUCAGCGGCUCUGCCAUGUUGCACAAUCGCCAAAAUGACGUCCAGAUCCACCCCCAGCCGGAAGCCUCGAACCCACAGUCUGUGGCCCACUUCAUCAACCUGACGACCCUGGUCAACUCCAUCACGCCCCUGGGGAGCCAGCUUAGUGACCAGCACCCGCUCACAUGGCGGGCAGUGCCCCAGACUGACGUCUUGCCACCCCCGCAGCCGCAGGCACCCCCACAGCAGGCGGCCCAGCCCCAGGUGCAGGCGGAGCAGCAGCAGCAGAUGUACAGCUACUGAGCUGCGUUCCGGGAGACUCGGGGCAAGAACUGCAGAGGGAUGUUUGGGAUUUGUUUAGAUGUGUUUGCUGGAUACCAAACAAACAAAAAGUCAUACAUUGCAAUGUAAGGUUGACUUAGCUUUGCAGAGUAUCUCCAGAUCCCCCGCCAGCAACCAUUACGGUCUGUCAGCUUAACUCUAGAAGGGACCUCUGGCAGGCCAGAGUUUUAAACUGGAUGGGGCUCCACCCCAUGCCUUACCAAGGCAGUAAGUCCUGGGCCGGGGCCGCAUCUGCCUCCCCUUACAGAACCAGUGUUCGCCCGACACAGGGUUCGGGAAAGUGAAGCUGAGAGAGAAGCAGGAUUUUAAGAGGCAGGAGAUAAGUUAUUAGGAACACACAUGGUUCAUUUUCUUUUUUCUUUUAGAGCUUGGUUCCUGUGAGAACACAGACAGUAUUCACAGGUGGCAGCAGGCAGCAGGGAACAUUUUCUCCUCACUUCUGGAUUUUUUUGUAAGCGAGCAGAUAGAAGUUAAAGUAACGUUUAUUCUCUUUGAACUAGGAGUGGAGUCGGUUCUUAUACAACUAUGGGCUGAAACCAUACGUGAGGCGUGCUGAGCCGCACCUGAUCCUGCAACCUUCGAGGUCAUCACGGUCAUCAUGUGCAAGGGGUCACGUGAGGUCACUGACUCCGGCUCAAAAGGCAUCUUAGUAAUAUCCGUGAAUCGAUUUCCAAUAGAGUUUUUUUUCCUUUUUUUUUUUUUAACUUUAUUUCAAACAUACAUUAUGUGUUCAAGACUGUUAUGGCCAAUAUUGUGUUUUAGUUUUAUGUUAACAUGAUAAAGUCAUGUGCACUGUAGGACCAUCGGUCCCUGUCCACCCUUCACAGCUGCCCAGAUGCAGAGGGUUGCGCGGCUGUGUGUGAGGAGUGAGCCUCCCUGCUGCCCCCAGGGGCUCCUCCGGGUUGUCUCAGGAUUCUCUGCAAUCCAAAUGUAUCCAUUCUGGCUGAAGCCCAGCCAGAAUCCCGAGUGGAAGAAACGGGGGAAAAUUCAUAUUUUCCUUCUGUUUAAACUUCAAUUCCAAAGGUGCACAGAUGUAUUCAUAAAGGAAGACAUUAGAUCCAGCCAUUGUGGCCACCAGGCUCUGUGGACCCAUCUCAGUGGAGAAUUUGUUUUGGACCCGUGGCUCCGUGCAGCUGUGGACUUGAGUGCCAUCCACUGGUGUGAGUCUUGCGGGGAGGCCACAGGAAAACGUUCUGUGCCAAGUGCCGCCUCGCUGUGUCCGGCAUGGGACUGCGCUGGAGAGUCCGGCGUGGAAGGCAGACCUCCUGUACCUCUAUCGUUCCCAUUUGUGGCAUCCAAAGGCGGAAGGCUCAUGGCUUCCCCACUAGAGGCGGCGUCUUGGGCUUUCCCAUUGGAUUGUUUUAGGCAUUAAGACUGUUUGGAGAUGUUGGCUGUAUUUCCUGUCACAUCAGGUUGUAUGAUGAUGAAUAAAAGGUGCUGUGACCCGUGUUUUCAA